AAAUCUAGAUAACUGUUGUUACCAUUUACCAGAUAGGGUAGUUGAGAUAUUAUUUAAGAACUUCAAAGCUCCAUAGUCAGUAACGGAGUCAGAAGCAGAAUUAGCGACAAGAGGGUUGAUUUCUCUGUUGGGCAAUGCUGGCUCCAUGAAAGGAGAACAUCCCUCAUGAGAUGAUUCUGAAAUGAGGUUUUGUCCAUAUUCAUUGGCUUUACUUUCCCAGAUGAUUAAAGUAGAAAAGCGGAAUAGCUCUUCUAGUGGCAGAAUGGAGGAGGUGGAGGAGCCUGGCUGCUUUGCUUGAGACCCAGAGAAGAGCGAAAAGUUCCAGGAGCAGACUGCCUAUGUAACUGUUCUCCUGGCCCUCAUCAUCGCUAAUAAGAGAUUUAUCCCUAGUUCCCAAGGCAAUGUGGGACACACAGCAGCAAGAGACUACAUAAGAUUGCUGACAACUGCUCAUAUUAGAAGUUAUUAAAUGUGAACUUGGCAGAUGGGGAAAAGUUUUUAAGAACUGUGAAAUUAGGAGACUCAUGAUAAAUUUAAACUUCUUGCCUAUAAAAUUUACUUUCACUGAUUUGGGGACAAGAAAGGACCUGUAUAAUCAUCAUAGUUACCUCCUUCAGCCUUCUGCUCAAUGCAAGCCAUAGAUCUCCAUCCAGCAGUUGGACAAGUCUGUAACUUUUGACUGAGCUGUAUCAUAAUAAUUUAAAGAAGCAGUCAUCUUGAUUUCAGAUUUCAAGAAACAGAGCCUCCGUCAUACCCAGAGAUGAGGUCUUCCAAAAGACAGUGGCCUUCGCCUUUAAAUUUGUCUAUUUCUAAUAUAAUUAAUCCCAAACUGAUACUACAUAGCUAAUCCUGCAGAUGUAUUCUCAUUGACUUCCAUGGGAUGUGCACAGGAGCUGUUGUUUACUACAUUAAACUUUUAGCAAAUACCAUGUUGCCUCACCUUAUUACAUCUCAAUUACCACAGCAUUUCCUCCUUUGGCCUUGGCAAACCGUGCUGCCAAGACACCCCUCCGAGCUCAUUGCUUCCCCAUCUUUUUGCAUCUUCCCUUUUCCCUGCUACAUCAGACAUAAAUUGUGUUCACUUUCAAGGUCUUGUAGCUGUUCCUUCCUUACCCAUCAUCAGUCAUUCAGCACCACGAGGUCGUCUCCUGCCUCUGACUUGCCUGCAGUGCCGUGUCCAUUUUCCACUCACCACCUUUGCAGACCAAGUACUUUUCUGCUUUCUCUGCUCUGCCUCUCGUGUUUAAUAUGCCAGACCUAUUUAUGUAACUUCUUCAUAUUUCCUCUCAAACCUUUUUGUUGUGACAUUUGAGACAAGCCUGGGCUGUAGGUGUACUGGAAUUGUGCCUGUCACCCUUGCACUGUCUGCCAGUCAGCACCUGUUCAUCAUCACCUAUGUAGAUUGUAUACUGUAAAGGAGCAUUUUAAAAAAUCAUCUGCCGUUAAGGAUUCCUAAUCAUAAAAUUAGUAAAUGUUACUAUUAAUUAAGUUUGCCACAGCGAAAGGAUUGUCCUAGCUAGAUGUCUUAUUCUAAAUUCUCUGGUUUCAUUCCGAGCCUAUCUGAAGAUGAGAUGUUAAUUUCAAAAAGUCUGUUCGAAAUACUGUUAGUACAGCAAAAAAUAAUAAAGAAUCCAAGGGGGCAAAUAUUUUGUCAGAAAUUAGUAUGUGGAAAAACAUACUUAAAUAAAUCUUGGUUUUAUCUAUUAGUCAGCUGUCAGCUAAUAAUAAAUUAUAUUCAGUCCCUCCCUUGUUAUAAAUACAUAUUGAUUAGUUUUAAACUCUGAACUUCAGAAUGAGUUAUAUCUGGUCAUUGCUAAACUGCUCUCUUCACUAAGAAAAAAAAUCCUCAACACCUAUUAUAUUGCAUUUAAUUAAGACAAGCAUCAGCUUUAUGUACCAUUAUUUGCUUCUGCCAAGUCUCUAUGGCAUAAAUAUUGAGCAGUCACAUCUCCUGAAUACUAAUUAAUCCUUCCUGAAUUCCAAAUGAUUACAUAAAGUUUAGGAAAUGUUUCUUUGCCAGUAUUAUCCUCCAAUGCUUACUGUAGUUAGACAUUAGGGUUGAGAUAUAAGCGUGGAUUUGACAAGCGUGCAGGAAGUAUUUUUCUAAAUUUAAAUGUAAUGUGGGGAAGCCUGAAAGCCCUGGCUCAGUGCUAAUUGUACAGAAUCCUCAACUGCUCGCUAUCUGGUGUUCACCAGGUGCAAUCUUACAAGUACACUUGGUAAAAGAGUGACAAGAAUAUAAGAAAACUGCCAAUGGAUUUAAUAAAACCACCCCACAAUAACAGCCCAGUUAUACAUGUAUAUUAUAAAUAACAUAUUUGUUAAAAAAAAUAACACCAAAAAACAGGGGCAAAAGUAGUUGUAUAUUUGCAAACUAUCAAAAGUAAAAGUGGCUAGAGUGACCACUCUGAACACUGCAUUAAACUCUAAGUGCCAUUUGUCGCUUCGAGUAAGAAGUGGACACAUUUGUGAAGCCCAGCCUGCCCCUGGACAAGUGCUCCGUUACCGGCCAGUGCUGGCUUGCCAAGGGAGGCUGGUGUGUGAUACUCUUUGCUUCAAAUUCAUAGCACCUACUUCAGAUCCCGGGACUGAAGGUGCUUUGUGAAGAUGAAGUAGUGUUAUCUGUGGGCUUCUUGGUAUCCUGCCAGAGAACCACCAGGACCACUUCACAGGAAGGAGAAUAGAGUCCCUGAAAACUACAAAUGCUCACACCUACCCAACAAGAGCAUGAGAAUGGCUGUGCUGGCACUCUGGACCAGCUAGACCACUGUCCCAUCUUUGACAGGAGCAGAUGCCCUAGGGAAUAGUGUAAGAAGAAGAAAAGCAUGGAGCGAUGCAUCCCAGGAGCAGCCGCUCAGGCGCCAGCAGCUGGAGGUUAGCAACAGCCAGAAGCAGUGGGGUUUGUAUUUCAUAGCUUUCGAUGGAUUUUCCUUCUGUUAAGUUCUCCAUGUGACUUUAAUAACCACAAAAACUUUCAACAUCCUCUACGUCUUGGAGCAAGGAGUGCCAGAGCUGGAUAAUAUGCUGCGUUGAAGAAUGAAUUCUUGUGUUUUGAGCCAGUCACCUGCUAGUUUAAUUAGUUUCAUUCUGAUACUAAAAUAUCAGAAUAAUGGGAGGAAGAAGCAGCUUUUUAGCUAAUUCGUGUUUGUUAGUAAGUUCCCAUGAUUUGUGGACUGUGCUUUGAAAAGCUAGGGCAGUCUUAUUAAAUAGAGAGUGUAAAAGGCAGAUCCAUAUUUGUUGAAAAUAUAAUAUGAUUAUUAAGAAGGCUGCAAUAAAGAUCUGCAUGCCAAAAUUUGCUAGGUUAUACCUUUAGGUCUGUAUUACACUUAGGUGUCUAUAAUCCUGCAUGAAUUGGUUCUUGGAUAAUUCUUGGGUCUUGUGUCCUGUUUUCCUUUUGGUCUGAUAAAGUCCCCUGCCUCACUAAUUCCUUCAUUUCAUACUUCUUUUAGUUUGUGUGCAUUUAAGCAUUAUAAGUACUACAAAAAUUUAAUCAAUAUUCUUUGUUAUAUUGCUUCCAGCUAAUGCUUAUACGCUUAUUUUCCUAUCUGCAUACAUGAUACCCCAGAUUUAAUCCUCAGCAAAAACUGUGGAAGUGAAAAUAUGUGCAGCCCCAUUUUCCAUCAUUGUUUGAUGCUGCUUUUUAUCUUAUCUUUUCUGUAUAUUUAGAUUGCAAGAUUACUGGAGCAGAGAUUCGGCUAGUCUGUACAUCUAAUAGACCAAUGAUGUUACAUAAAGUAUAUUAAAAAAUGCGAGAGGUUUGGUUUGGGUUUUUUUUUGGCUCCAGAAUGUUGCUUAACUGCAUUGAUGUGAGCUACUGGAGCCACGUGGAACACAGCACAGGCAGGCUUUGUGCUGCUGCUCCUUGGGUGCACGUCUGCAGGAGACUCCUUCCAGCCCUCCAAGGCUAAAGUCUGCCUCAAAAUUGCUUCAUUUCAGCCUGAUUUGUCUGCAAGAAGAACUUCACAGGCACGUUUCUUUUCCAAAAGUGCAAAUGGUGGAGCUUAGUACUUCAAAUACCUCCUCCCAUCUCAGCUCUGACACUUCAAGGAGACUAAAAGCAGGGAAAUAUUAAUUUGCUAAUAUUCUUCUUAUUUAACAGAAAAAGGAGUGGAGUUUUGCAGUUCUGGAUGCAUUUCUGCUGAACCCUUAAGUAAGGUUCUGGUUUGUUUGAAAACAGGGUUUUUUUGCUUGGGUUUGUUGUUUAAGCAAGAGCCCACUGUUUGUCAUCCACAGCGAUUAAAUGUUUACCGUUUCUACGGGACCCUCUUGUCUCGUGCUAAGUGAGAUGUGAGAUCAAUAGCGGCUCUGCAAUUAUUUGCCCAUUGAUAAAGCCUUCAUUUAUUAAAUGAAGUACAUUUAUCUGUGUCCUGACGACGAUAAGGCAGCAGUACCAAUCAGCUACUGCCCAAUCUAGCAUUUAGCUCCACAGGCAGACAAGUGCCUGGACAUGGGUCAAGGGAUGUCUAACUUUCUUCCUAUUGGCAUUUCACUUUACAAACUGCUCUGGUGGGAGACAUCCUUGAUGAAUUCAGAUAAUAAAAACUAGUAGGACAGAUGGGAAGUUUUGGUGAAGAGAAGAUGGCUGAUUUCAGGUUAAGUCUCCACUCUGUAAAGCUACCGGAUGGUAAAAUGAAGAGAUCUGUUGCAUCAGAAGAUGAUAGAGAAUAUCCCAUGCAAGGUACUCAUUUGGUUCUUUGAACAUCGUUUAAAUUUAGUCAUUUAGCAAAUUUAUUUGCUGAAAAAAUUAUCUGAACUUUAUGGUAGGAAGCAACUCAUAGAAACAGUGAGGCAAAUUUUGGCUCCACUAACAGCAAUGUGAUGUUCUCGUUGGCUUUAGUGAGGCCAAGGUUUCACCCCAGUGGAGCAUGCCAAUCUAUGUCAGUCCCAGAACUGGAGAAUUCAACAGCAUAUGUCAGGCAGCAAUUUGCUGCUAUUUGUAUUUUCUUUUUUUUUAUUAUUAUUAUUUAUUUUAUUUUAUUUAUUUUUAAUUAUGUUAUAUGACAAAAAAGGGAGUUUCCAAACUAAUGUCAAAUUUGGUACUGAAAAUUGAAACAGGCGAUAAACUGACACAUUUGCUUUUUCUAUUGCUGUGGUUUAACCCCAAUCAGCAACUAAGCCAAAACCAGCACAUCUAUCUGUAGUGUAUCUUCUUUCAAACCAGCAAUUAUUAAAGACAAAGAAAUGGUUUGUAUUUGUUUUUAGGCCUGGCCUAUUUUUUGAUUGUGCACUAGUUAUAUGCUAUAGAAAAAUUAGGUGUAUUAUUACUCUGGGAUUAGGGUAAAGAAGUGGCAUUAUCCUCAAUUUGGUUAGCUUUGGGAAAGCAAGAUACUUUUAUUCUCAUUUAGUGGUAAUUUUGAUAAACAGUUGUACAAUGAAGUGAUCAGCAUCUUUCUCAGAUGUGUUCUUUCCAUGUUUUGGACAUGAGUUCAUAAAGUAGUGUUAAAAGUAGGUUUAACACUCAGGUCUGUCAAAGAUUUCUUUAUUCUUUCCCAUUAUUGCCUGGCCACUGACUUUCCACCGUGUGAUUACGGUUGCUGAAUUGUCAUGGCUCUGUCAGUUCUUUUUGCUUGAAAGAAACGUGUCAAAUGCAACUAAGUAGCCAAGAAAAUCCAGGUUGCCAUAUCUCUUCACCUGCUGAUUUUUUUUAAUCCAUGUAUCUUCAGACUGUGAAAAAAAAUGGGCUGAUAAAGCACAAUUUGACUCAGGUAUGGUAUGUUGCUUACCUUCACUCCCUUAGCUGGAAUUAAGGAAAUAAUACCUCUGUAUGUGAAAACUCAGGAAUGACGCACCAAAAACCAGGUAUGUUUUGGAGUUUACAAAUAGGAUGUCACCCUCAGCCAAAAAAAGGUUGGCAAGGGUAAUUGCUAUCAGAACUGGUGUCCUGGUUUACUUCAAAGCAAGCUAGUAGCUCAAGAUAAUUGGAAUGGAGAUUGAUAACAAAUUGGUAUUUCUAGGCCACCUAAAUAGAAAACUACUUUCAAAUAAAUCAUACUGGUAGAUGGGUUGCUCCUUUGCAAUAAAAUGCUUUGGCUUCAGCAGUCCAGCUCAUCUUCAAAUAAAACAUUCAAUCAGCAUCUGGUGUAUCAUUUGCAGCAAAGACAGAUGUUGGUACAGAAUUCAGAGUUUUCCGUCAGAGAUCAUGUCAGGGAAGAAGGGACUAGAAGAUGGCUUAGCAGUUAUACCAGGCUACACAACCAAAACUGUGAAGGGCAGUUUUGGUCACAAGACCUGUUUCUAUUUGCUUUACUGUGAUCUCAGGUGUCAAUUAGACUGGUUGAUUUGUGUAAUGCUGUUCUGGUGUGCAGCGAGAGAGGGAAGCAACGUGUUUGUUUAUGUGUAGGGAGGAGGUACACAGUGAUAAAUUGCCACGGUGGACUGACUCCUGGGAAGGCUGUGAUUCUUUAAGGGAACCCUGAUGGACUAGUGUAGUAGAUCUGUAGAUUAAGAAAGUGGAUCAGAGUAAUGUGAUGGAAUUUAUAUUUUGUCCAAACGUCCUAUGUCUUAACAGAGUAAUUGCCUGACCACUGAUGGUGCAGUGAAGCUGUGAAGGGAAGGGUCUCUGCUGGUGCUUUAAUGUCCUUAUGAAUCAAGGCUUUUGUCCAUCUAAAACACAGCUGAGUCUGUACUGUGCACGAUAUGGUAAUCUCCAGAGUGAUAGUGGUGAUUCUGCUGAUUCUCUUUGAUUUGUUCUCUGACUUUUUAACCUGUGAGAGCACAAGAGCUGAAGGACUGAUUCAGCUGAAGUGGUUAUCUGCUGAGAACAACAGUUCAGGUGUGAUGAAGUUGCUCCUCUCCAGACAUUGGCAGUGACUGGGCUGAAGGAUGGCAUAAGGAACCACCAAGGGUAGACGGACAGUCACUGAAGUAUGAAGAUCCAUGUACAUGAAGGAAGACUUUUAUGUACAGAGAGGAGCCUCCACAGCAACAGGGAAAUUUGCUGACCACACCAUGUAGGCAUACGUAAGCGAAGUCUGGCUCUAAACUAAGACCAAGCACAAUGGCAGAAACCACUGGAGUGAGGGACUGUGCAAGCCUGGCUACAAGGGAAACAAACUACUACACUGAACAGCAAAAUAAUGAAUGCUUGACCUCACUUGUAUCCACCUCGAAUCAAAUUCUGUGUGU